rnacentral:tRNA from 1 species
GGCCUAAUGGCCCAAUGGCAAGGCGCUUGACUACGAUCACUCAGUAAUCAAGAGAUUCCAGGUUCGACCCCUGGUUAGGUCA